rnacentral:rRNA from 1 species
AGCUAGUUGAUGGGGUAAAAGCUCACCAAGCUGACUAUCUGUAGCUGGUCUGAGAGGACGACCAGCCACACUGGAACUGAGACACGUUCCAGACUCCUACGGGAGGCAGCAGUGGGGAAUUCUGGACAAUGGGCGCAAGCCUGAUCCAGCAAUGCCGCGUGCAGGAUGAAGGCCUUCGGGUUGUAAACUGCUUUUGUACGGAACGAAACGGUCCUCUCUAAUAAAGAGGGCUAAUGACGGUACCGUAAGAAUAAGCACCGGCUAACUACGUGCCAGCAGCCGCGGUAAUACGUAGGGUGCGAGCGUUAAUCGGAAUUACUGGGCGUAAAGCGUGCGCAGGCGGUGAUGUAAGACAGAUGUGAAAUCCCCGGGCUCAACCUGGGACCUGCAUUUGUGACUGCAUCGCUAGAGUACGGUAGAGGGGGAUGGAAUUCCGCGUGUAGCAGUGAAAUGCGUAGAUAUGCGGAGGAACACCGAUGGCGAAGGCAAUCCCCUGGACCUGUACUGACGCUCAUGCACGAAAGCGUGGGGAGCAAACAGGAUUAGAUACCCUGGUAGUCCACGCCCUAAACGAUG